ACCACGGUGGUGCAAAUGGUUAACACAUUUGUCUGCUAACCAAAAGGUUGGUGGUCCAAGUUCAUCCAGAGGUA
rnacentral:tRNA from 1 species